rnacentral:misc_RNA from 1 species
GUCGGAGGGGGCUUGCUCCCGAUAGCGGAGGGUCAGUCGGCAGAUGUAUCAACUGAUCCACCGCUAUCGGGAGCAAGCCCCCUCCCAC